rnacentral:rRNA from 1 species
AACGAACGCUGGCGGCAUGCCUAACACAUGCAAGUCGAACGAGACCUUCGGGGCUUGUUGCGCCCGGGUGCGUAACGCGGGGGAAGUUGCCCGUAGGUACGGUAUAACGUCCCGAAAGGGGAGUUAAGACCAGAUAAUGUCUUCCGACCAAAGAUUUAUCGUCUUUGGAUGGGUCCGCGUUGGAUUAGCUAGCUCGUAUGGUAAAAGCCUAUGAAGGCGACGAUCCAUAGCUGGUGUGAGAGGAUGAGCAGACACACUGGGACUGAGACACGGCACAGACUCCUACGGGAGGCAGCAGAGGGGGAUAGAGGACCAUGGGCGAAGUGCUGAUCCUGCACUGACGGGUAAGUGAUGAAGGCCUUAAGGUUGUAAAGCUCUUUUACCCGGGAUGAUAAUGACAGUACCGGGAGAAUAAGCGCCGGCUAACUCCGUG